UAUCCUUGACCUUUGGUAGUUUGAAUCUUAAAUGUCUUCUGAUGGUCUUAUUUGGGUUAAAUCUGAUUGUUGUUCUAGAACUUUCUUGUAUUUGGAUAUCAAGAUCUCUAGCAAGGUCAGUGAAAUUUUUCUCAAUUAUUCCUUCAAAUAUAUUUUCCAAACUUUUAAAUUUCUUUCAUUUCUUGGAAACACCAUUUUUCUUUAGGUUCGAUCAUUUAACAUAAUCCUAAACUUCUCAGGGGAUUUUUUCAUUUUUUUUCUUGAUUUUUGUUUUCUUUGUGGGAUUGGGUUAUUGCAAAACCCUUGUCUUCUAGCUCCAAACAUCUUUCCUCUAUUUGGCUGGCACAAAAAAGAAAUGCUGUUACUUCCAAAUCAAUGUAAUACUUGUUUGAUUCUUUUGCUGAGAAUUUUCAGUGAAUUUACCAUUUCUCUACCUGUGUCUUUUAUUUCCAGAAGUUGUAAUUUUUAAAUUUAUGUUAUUUAUCUGGAGGUUUUCCCAUUCAUACUUUAUAACAGUUUUUAUUUUUUUUAAGUUAAAUGUCAC
rnacentral:lncRNA from 1 species